rfam:Ehrlichia chaffeensis str. Arkansas, complete genome.
GAGUAAAUAAUAAAGAGCAUUUGAUGGAUGCCUUGGCGUUAAGAGGCGAUGAAAGACGUGGUAGGCUGCGAUAAGCUGCGGGGAAUUGUCAGACGAAUUUUGAUCCGCAGAUUUCUGAAUGGGGAAACCCAAUCAAUUUAUUGAUUAUUGCAUACUGAAUACAUAGGUAUGCAAGGCAAACCUGGUGAACUGAAAUAUCUCAGUAGCUAGAGGAAAGGAAAUCAAAAGAGACUCCGUUAGUAGUGACGAGCGAACGCGGACCAGGCCAGUGGUCUGUAGUUAAAAAUUAGAAUACUUUGGAAAGAGUAGCCAUAGAUGGUGAUAGCCCAGUAUAAGUAAAAAGAUUAUAGAUCCUUGAGUAGGGCGGGACACGUGAAAUCCUGUUUGAAGAUGGGGGGACCAUCCUCCAAGCCUAAGUACUCCUUAACGACCGAUAGUGGACAAGUACCGUGAGGGAAAGGUGAAAAGAACCCCAGGAGGGGAGUGAAAUAGACCCUGAAAUCGAAUGCUUACAACCAGUUGGAGCCUUAUAUUUACAUCUUGGGAGCAAUCUUAAUAUGUAUUUAUUGAGGUGACAGCGUACCUUUUGCAUAAUGGGUCAGCGAGUUAAUCUAUUGAGCAAGCUUAAGCCGUUAGGUGUAGGCAUAGCGAAAGCGAGUCUGAAUAGGGCGUUUAGUUUAAUGGAUUAGACCCGAAACCAAGUGAUCUAACCAUGGCCAGGUUGAAGGUGUAGUAAAAUACAUUGGAGGACCGAACCUGUUACUGUUGCAAUAGUAUUGGAUGAGUUGUGGUUAGGGGUGAAAGGCCAAUCAAACUUGGAAAUAGCUGGUUCUCCGCGAAAUCUAUUGAGGUAGAGCGUUGUACUAUAUACUUUUGGGGGUAGAGCACUGAAUGGACUAGGGAGACUCAUCCUCUUACCAAAUCCAAUCAAACUCCGAAUACCAAUAAGUAGUUAUACAGCAGACACACUAUGGGUGCUAAGUCCGUGGUGGAAAGGGAAACAGCCCAGAUCGCCGUCUAAGGUCCCGAAAUUGUGGCUAAGUGUGGAAGGAAGUGAGAAAACCAAUACAGCUAGUAGGUUGGCUUAGAAGCAGCCAUCCUUUAAAGAAAGCGUAACAGCUCACUUGUCUAAAUAAGUUUUCUUGCGCCGAAGAUGUAACGGGGCUCAAGCCAUGUACCGAAGACGCGAAUUCCUAAUUAUAUUAGGUCUGGUAGCGGAGCGUUUUGUAAGCCUGUGAAGGUGAUUCGUGAGGAUUGCUGGAGGUAUCAAAAGUGAGAAUGCUGACAUGAGUAGCGUAAAAGAGUGUGAAAGCCACUCUCGCCGAAAACCUAAGGUUUCCUGUGUUAAGUCAAUCUGCGCAGGGUUAGUCGGAUCCUAAGGCGAGGCCGUAAAGGAGUAGUCGAUGGAAAUCAGGUUAAUAUUCCUGAACCUUUUAAGCGUGACGGAUUUUGUGUUAGUGUGAGCCUUAUUGGAUUGGCUCAUGCUUUGAAAAGAUCCCAGGAAAUAGCGCUUAAGUUUAUAAGUCCGUACCGUAAACCGACACUGGUAGGUAGGUAGAGUAUACUAAGGCGAUUGAGAGAACGAUGUUGAAGGAACUCGGCAAAUUACACCUGUAACUUAGGGAGAAGGGUGGCCUAUGUGUGGGCAACCAUAUGUAGGUGGCACAGAAUAGGGGGUAGCGACUGUUUACUAAAAACACAGGACUCUGCAAACACGUAAGUGGAAGUAUAGGGUCUGACGCCUGCCCGGUGCUGGAAGGUUAACAUGAGGGGUGCAAGCUCCAAUUCGAAGCCCCAGUAAACGGCGGCCGUAAAACUGACGGUCCUAAGGUAGCGAAAUUCCUUGUCGGGUAAGUUCCGACCCGCACGAAUGGCGUAACGAUUUCCCCACUGUCUCCAACAUCGACUCAGCGAAAUUGAAUUCCCCGUGCUGAUGCGGGGUACCCGCGGGUAGACGAAGAGACCCCGUGCACCUUUACUAUAGCUUUACAUUGAUGUUAGGAAUGCAAUGUGCAGGAUAAGUGGGAAACUUUGAAGCUGGGGCGCUAGCCUUAGUGGAGUUGACCUUGAGAUACCACUCUUUACAUUUUUGAUAUCUAACUAUGCCCCAUAGAAUCUGGGGUUAGGACAUUGUAUGGUGGGUAGUUUGACUGGGGCGGUCGCCUCCUAAAGAGUAACGGAGGCGUGCGAUGGUAAGCUAGAGCUGGUCAGAAAUCAGCUUUUAUAGUACAAUGGCAUAAGCUUGCCUGACUGUGAGGUCGACAGACCGAGCAGAGACGAAAGUCGGUCAUAGUGAUCCGGUGAUUCCGCAUGGAAGGGUCAUCGCUCAACGGAUAAAAGGUACGCCGGGGAUAACAGGCUUAUGGUGUCUAAGAGUUCAUAUCGACGACACCGUUUGGCACCUCGAUGUCGACUCAUCACAUCCUGGGGCUGAAGUAGGUCCCAAGGGUUCGGCUGUUCGCCGAUUAAAGUGAUACGUGAGUUGGGUUUAGAACGUCGUGAGACAGUUCGGUUUCUAUCUUCCGUGGGCGUUUGGAAAUUUGAGAGGAUCUGACUCUAGUACGAGAGGACCGAGUUGGACAUACCUCUGGUGUACCAGUUGUUGUGCCAACAGCAUCGCUGGGUAGCUAAGUAUGGAUAGGAUAAUUACUGAAAGCAUCUAAGUAAGAAACCUUCCUUAAGAUUAGAUUUCCCCAUUAGGGCCGUGAGAGACUAUCACGUUGAUAGGCUGGGUGUGUAAGUAUGGUAACAUAUGUAGCUAACCAGUACUAAUAGCCCGAUUGAUUUACUUAU